GCCAUCCUUGAAAUACCACCCUGGUUUGUUUGAGGUUCUAACCUUGGUCCGUUAUCCGGAUCGGGGACAGUGCAUGGUAGGCAGUUUGACUGGGGCGGUCUCCUCCUAAAGAGUAACGGAGGAGUACGAAGGUGCGCUCAGACCGGUCGGAAAUCGGUCGUAGAGUAUAAAGGCAAAAGCGCGCUUGACUGCGAGACCCACACGUCGAGCAGGUACGAAAG
rnacentral:rRNA from 1 species